GCAGCUCCGGCCAGAGGCAGAAACCCCGAGCCCACGGCAGGCAAAUGCUCCUUCCCAAAAACAUGAGCGGCUCGGCGGCGUGGGGAUGGGUGGCAGCCCCCCGGCAGCGCUGCCUGCGCCGGGUUCAUUUGAAUGCGAGCCAUGCAGAGCGCUCGCCACCGCCACUGAGGUGAUGUUCCAGCAGAAUAUUCCCAGUGAAUUGACAAGCACAGACUUUCUUCCCAGCAACGGGCACCCUAAAGAGCCCUGGGUAGAAGCUGCCAGGCAGUGAUGGACCAACAGCUCAAGGAAGGGGCCAGGAGAAGGGAAGCUGCUCUGGGAGGUCAGGAAAGGCCAGCUAACCACCAAAACUCGGGAGCAUGUUGAUAUCCUGACAAGGCCUGGUGGCAGGGGUUUCAGGGCUCCUUUCUGCUCCCAGGAAGUCAGGGAUGGGUGCAGGGAUGUCGCCAGCCCAGGCCAGAAGCAAUAAAGCGCCUGGAGUGAUGCAGCAAAACAG